rnacentral:rRNA from 1 species
AAAGCUCUUUCGGGUGGGACGAUGAUGACGGUACCACCAGAAGAAGCCCCGGCUAACUUCGUGCCAGCAGCCGCGGUAAUACGAAGGGGGCUAGCGUUGUUCGGAAUUACUGGGCGUAAAGCGCACGCAGGCGGCUCGAUAAAUUAGAAGUGAAAGCCUUGGGCUUAACCUGAGAAUUGCUUUUAAGACUGUCGAGCUAGAAUCCAGAAGAGGGUAGUGGAAUUCCGAGUGUAGAGGUGAAAUUCGUAGAUAUUCGGAAGAACACCAGUGGCGAAGGCGACUACCUGGUCUGGCAUUGACGCUCAUGUGCGAAAGCGUGGGGAGCAAACAGGAUUAGAUACCCUGGUAGUCCACGCCGUAAACGAUGGGUGCUAGUUGUUGGGGUCCAUAGGACUUCAGUGACGCAGCUAACGCAUUAAGCACCCCGCCUGGGGAGUACGGCCGCAAGG